UACGAAGGGGGGCUAGCGUUGCUCGGAUUUACUGGGCGUAAAGGGCGCGUAGGCGGACAGUUAAGUUGGGGGUGAAAGCCCGGGGCUCAACCUCGGAAUUGCCUUCAAUACUGGCUGUCUUGAGACCGGGAGAGGGUGAGUGGAAUUCCCAGUGUAGCGGUGAAAUGCGUAGAUAUUGGGAGGAACACCAGUGGCGAAGGCGGCUCACUGGACCGGUACUGACGCUGAUGCGCGAAAGCGUGGGGAGCAAACGGGG
rnacentral:rRNA from 1 species